GAUGAACGCUGGCGGCGUGCUUAACACAUGCAAGUCGAACGGUGAACGAGGGAGCUUGCUCCCUCCGGAUCAGUGGCGAACGGGUGAGUAACACGUGAGCAAUCUGCCCUGGACUCUGGGAUAAGCGUUGGAAACGACGUCUAAUACCGGAUACGAGGCGUGGGGGCAUCCCCAACGCCUGGAAAGAACUUCGGUCCAGGAUGAGCUCGCGGCCUAUCAGGUAGUUGGUGAGGUAAUGGCUCACCAAGCCUACGACGGGUAGCCGGCCUGAGAGGGUGACCGGCCACACUGGGACUGAGACACGGCCCAGACUCCUACGGGAGGCAGCAGUGGGGAAUAUUGCACAAUGGGCGCAAGCCUGAUGCAGCAACGCCGCGUGAGGGACGACGGCCUUCGGGUUGUAAACCUCUUUUAGCAGGGAAGAAGCGAAAGUGACGGUACCUGCAGAAAAAGCACCGGCUAACUACGUGCCAGCAGCCGCCGUAAUAC
rnacentral:rRNA from 1 species